rnacentral:siRNA from 1 species
UUUAGAUAUUGUGAGAUGACUCA